rnacentral:rRNA from 1 species
UACGGAGGGUGCGAGCGUUAAUCGAAAUUACUGGGCGUAAAGGGUGCGUAGGUGGCACAAUAAGUUACUUGUGAAAGUCCUGGGCUUAACCCAGGUUGGACGGGUGAUACUGUUGAGCUAGAGUACAGGAGAGGGCAGUGGAAUUCCAGGUGUAGCGGUGAAAUGCGUAGAUAUCUGGAGGAACAUCGGUGGCGAAGGCGGCUGCCUGGCCUGAUACUGACACUGAGGCACGAAAGCGUGGGGAGCAAAC